UGGGGAACUUUGGACAAUGGGCGCAAGCCUGAUCCAGCAAUGCCGCGUGCAGGAUGAAGGCCUUCGGGUUGUAAACUGCUUUUGUACGGAACGAAACGGCUCUGGUUAAUACCUGGGGCUAAUGACGGUACCGUAGGAAUAAGCACCGGCUAACUACGUGCCAGCAGCCGCGGUAAUACGUAGGGUGCGAGCGUUAAUCGGAAUUACUGGGCGUAAAGCGUGCGCAGGCGGUGAUGUAAGACAGAUGUGAAAUCCCCGGGCUCAACCUGGGACCUGCAUUUGUGACUGUAUAGCUAGAGUACGGUAGAGGGGGAUGGAAUUCCGCGUGUAGCAGUGAAAUGCGUAGAUAUGCGGAGGAACACCGAUGGCGAAGGCAAUCCCCUGGACCUGUACUGACGCUCAUGCACGAAGGCGUGGGGAGCAAACA
rnacentral:rRNA from 1 species